CUGAGGUUACCUGGCACAGAUGAAGAUGAGCACUGGAGAGAAGAGCUUGAACGGCGCCGCUCCGAAGGAGCGUUAGGACAGACGGUGGCGGGGAGCUUCGAGGGAUGGCCCUGGCGUCCGGGGAAGGAGGCUCUGCUCCGUCCCCAGGUGUUACCAUCACACCUUUGAAGGCCAGCAGAGAUGGCAGAGCCGUGCCCCCGUCUCCGCUGGUCUGCACUCGCCUUGGGAAGAGCCCCGUUGUCCGAGGAGGAGACCUCACUGCGGCCUUUGCAAGGGAACGACAGCUCUGGGGUGCCGGGGGUUCUCGGAAAACCAAAAUCCCCUCUCUUUAAUUUGGGGAAAACACUGCGGGUGGGGAGUAUGCGUGUGAGGGUGUCUACAGUCUUUUCUUCAUUAGGAUUUUCCAGCCUUCCCAGCGGCUGGGAAGCGUUCGGCUGUCGGCAGCGYGCUGGAGGGGCCGUUUCACCGCCCGCUGGGGUGGGAUGCGAGCGGCCCACCGCUCGCGGAGGAGGGAGGAAAGCAGCGCGAGGGUUUUGUCUCCGCUGUGGGUGAAUCCGUGUUGUCUGUGAUGGAUUCUCACUGCGACAGACUGCAAAUGGGAUCUCUCUGGGGAAAUUAGCCUGCGGCUUUUGACUUUAUUAAAUAUUCUCCAGUGCCAUCCCGAAGGACCGCUUUUUAGUGCUCUGCGAUGUUUCGCCUGUAUUUUGAACAUCACCUACAUAAAACGUGACCAUGUAUAGCCUGUAUUUACGUUAAAGCCUAUGUGCAAAUAGUCAGUAAAUGAUGGAUAGCAGCCUGUUCUUCAGGUCUGUAACAGGAUGAUGUCUUAUAGGUAGAUAUGAGAACCUCAGCUGAAGAUACUGCGGAUUAUUAUAAAGUCUGAUAGCUCACUUAGAGCUCUGGCUUAUAAUGAUUGAUUUAGCCAUUUAUUAAAACACCUAUUUAAUGAUUGAUUAAGCCUUUAUAAACUAUUUGUAACUUUAAAAAUGGGACCUGAUGUAUUGUAGCUCCAUUAGCAUCUAGCUAAUAAAAUACACUGUGAGCCUGAAAUGCCUAUUAGG
rnacentral:lncRNA from 1 species